GACGAACGCUGGCGGCGUGCCUAAUACAUGCAAGUUGAGCGCUGAAGGUUGGUCCUUGUACCAACUGGAUGAGCAGCGAACGGGUGAGUAACGCGUGGGGAAUCUGCCUUUGAGCGGGGGACAACAUUUGGAAACGAAUGCUAAUACCGCAUAAAAACUUUAAACACAAGUUUUAAGUUUGAAAGAUGCAAUUGCAUCACUCAAAGAUGAUCCCGCGUUGUAUUAGCUAGUUGGUGAGGUAAAGGCUCACCAAGGCGAUGAUACAUAGCCGACCUGAGAGGGUGAUCGGCCACAUUGGGACUGAGAUACGGCCCAAACUCCUACGGGAGGCAGCAGUAGGGAAUCUUCGGCAAUGGACGAAAGUCUGACCGAGCAACGCCGCGUGAGUGAAGAAGGUUUUCGGAUCGUAAAACUCUGUUGGUAGAGAAGAACGUUGGUGAGAGUGGAAAGCUCAUCAAGUGACGGUAACUACCCAGAAAGGGACGGCUAACUACGUG
rnacentral:rRNA from 1 species